GCUUAUUCUCAGGGCGGGGCGAAAUUCCCCACCGGCGGUAAAUCAACGUAUGGCCAAAAGAUUUCGCGUUGCGGCAAUGCAGCAGCGGCGUGAAAGAUGAAGGACAGGUUGAAAGCCCGCGAGCGCUUCAGGUGCAAAUCUGAAGGUCAGCAGAUCCGGUGUAAUUCCGGGGCCGACGGUUAAAGUCCGGAUGGGAGAGAGUAACG
rfam:Citrobacter koseri ATCC BAA-895, complete genome.